rnacentral:rRNA from 1 species
UGCAGCCUACGGGAGGCAGCAGUGGGGGAUAUUGCACAAUGGGGGGAACCCUGAUGCAGCGACGCCGCGUGGGUGAAGAAGCGUUUCGGCGCGUAAAGCCCUGUCAGCAGGGAAGAAGAAGGACGGUACCUGACCAAGAAGCCCCGGCUAACUACGUGCCAGCAGCCGCGGUAAUACGUAGGGGGCAAGCGUUAUCCGGAUUUACUGGGUGUAAAGGGGGCGUAGACGGCGAUGCAAGCCAGGAGUGAAAGCCGGGGCC